rnacentral:rRNA from 1 species
UGCAGUCGAACGCUGAAGCACCAGCUUGCUGGUGUGGAUGAGUGGCGAACGGGUGAGUAAUACGUGAGUAACCUGCCCUUGACUCUGGGAUAAGCCCGGGAAACUGGGUCUAAUACUGGAUGCUACAUGUCACCGCAUGGUGGUGUGUGGAAAGGGUUUACUGGUCUUGGAUGGGCUCACGGCCUAUCAGCUUGUUGGUGAGGUAAUGGCUCACCAAGGCGACGACGGGUAGCCGGCCUGAGAGGGUGACCGGCCACACUGGGACUGAGACACGGCCCAGACUCCUACGGGAGGCAGCAGUGGGGAAUAUUGCACAAUGGGCGAAAGCCUGAUGCAGCGACGCCGCGUGAGGGAUGACGGCCUUCGGGUUGUAAACCUCUUUCAGCAGGGAAGAAGCCACAAGUGACGGUACCUGCAGAAGAAGCGCCGGCUAACUACGUGCCAGCAGCCGCGGUAAUACGUAGGGCGCAAGCGUUGUCCGGAAUUAUUGGGCGUAAAGAGCUCGUAGGCGGUUUGUCGCGUCUGCUGUGAAAGCCCGGGGCUUAACCCCGGGUGUGCAGUGGGUACGGGCAGACUAGAGUGCAGUAGGGGAGACUGGAAUUCCUGGUGUAGCGGUGGAAUGCGCAGAUAUCAGGAGGAACACCGAUGGCGAAGGCAGGUCUCUGGGCUGUUACUGACGCUGAGGAGCGAAAGCAUGGGGAGCGAACAGGAUUAGAUACCCUGGUAGUCCAUGCCGUAAACGUUGGGCACUAGGUGUGGGGGACAUUCCACGUUUUCCGCGCCGUAGCUAACGCAUUAAGUGCCCCGCCUGGGGAGUACGGCCGCAAGGCUAAAACUCAAAGGAAUUGACGGGGGCCCGCACAAGCGGCGGAGCAUGCGGAUUAAUUCGAUGCAACGCGAAGAACCUUACCAAGGCUUGACAUAUACCGGAUCGUUCCAGAGAUGGUUCUUCCCCUUUGGGGUCGGUAUACAGGUGGUGCAUGGUUGUCGUCAGCUCGUGUCGUGAGAUGUUGGGUUAAGUCCCGCAACGAGCGCAACCCUCGUUCCAUGUUGCCAGCACGUGAUGGUGGGGACUCAUGGG